rnacentral:lncRNA from 1 species
GGGGACAAACAGACAGAAACUAAGGCAAACUGACAGGACAAAAUCAAUAUUUCCCACUUUCAGCAGGAAUUAAAAUCAAAGUGCCUAUAUAUAAAAGCAAUAAUAGGGAUAAUGGGAAUAAAUGUACAGCACUUUCAUUUGUUUUGCAAAGGUGAACCAUUAAUUUAACAAAUUGUGAAUAGCAGAGGACGCUGAGUGAAUUCUUAUAUGAAAAGGGGAAAAAAGUC